CCUGGUGAUUUAGCUUAGUGUGUCCCACCCCAUUCCAUUCCGAAUUGGGAAGUGAAAGCACUAAGCGCCGAUGAUACUUGUCUUUCGGGAUGGGGAAAGUAGGCUUUGCCAGGA
rnacentral:rRNA from 2 species